CAUAUUUUACUUAUUUAUUUAUGUUUAUUUGAUAUAUAAAUUUAAUUAAACUGAAUAAAUAAUUUAAAUUAAUGAACUGUACUUAUUGAUUUAAGGUUUUCACUCACCUGCCUUUGGAGAUACAACAAACACUCAACGAUUAAAGGAUCAAUGGAAGCAAGAAUUUUACACUUGCAAUACCAUAAAGUCAAUUUAAGGGGUUUCAAAUUAAAUUCUCUUACAAAUGGUUUUUGGAAUGGAUGGAGUUGGUAAUGAUUGAACUCAUUAUGAUCAUAUUUGGGCAAGAUUUAGUGGAGUUAAACACUAAACCAUUCAACCGCUGGUGAAAAAUUGGGCUGAUAAAAAGUCCAUCAAAGAGGAAACAAUAAAGAAGCCCAUCAGCAUGGACCAUAGAUGAUAAAAGGGG